rnacentral:rRNA from 1 species
AACUCGGCAAAUUGACACCGUAACUUCGGAAGAAGGUGUGCCUUUAGUAGGUGAACCCGUACAGGGGGAGCCCAAUGAGGUUGCAAAGAAUCGGUGGCUGCGACUGUUUAAUAAAAACACAGCACUCUGCAAACACGAAAGUGGACGUAUAGGGUGUGACGCCUGCCCGGUGCUGGAAGAUUAAGUGAUGGGGUGCAAGCUCUUGAUCGAAGUCCCAGUAAACGGCGGCCGUAACAAUAACGGUCCUAAGGUAGCGAAAUUCCUUGUCGGGUAAGUUCCGACCUGCACGAAUGGCGUAACGAUGGCCACACUGUCUCCUCCCGAGACUCAGCGAAGUUGAAAUGUUUGUGAUGAUGCAAUCUCCCCGCGGAAAGACGGAAAGACCCCAUGAACCUUUACUGUAGCUUUGUAUUGGACUUUGAACGGAUCUGUGUAGGAUAGGUGGGAGGCUUUGAAGCAGGGUCGCUAGAUCUUGUGGAGCCAACGUUGAAAUACCACCCUGGUGCGUUUGAGGUUCUAACCUAGGCCCGUUAUCCGGGUCGGGGACAGUGCAUGGUAGGCAGUUUGACUGGGGCGGUCUCCUCCCAAAGCGUAACGGAGGAGUUCGAAGGUACGCUAGUUACGGUCGGACAUCGUGACGAUAGUGCAAUGGCAUAAGCGUGCUUAACUGCGAGACUGACAAGUCGAGCAGAUGCGAAAGCAGGACAUAGUGAUCCGGUGGUUCUGUAUGGAAGGGCCAUCGCUCAACGGAUAAAAGGUACUCUGGGGAUAACAGGCUGAUACCGCCCAAGAGUUCAUAUCGACGGCGGUGUUUGGCACCUCGAUGUCGGCUCAUCUCAUCCUGGGGCUGUAGCCGGUCCCAAGGGUAUGGCUGUUCGCCAUUUAAAGAGGUACGUGAGCUGGGUUUAAAACGUCGUGAGACAGUUUGGUCCCUAUCUUCCGUGGGCGCUGCAGAUUUGAGGAAGCCUGCUCCUAGUACGAGAGGACCGGAGUGGACGCACCUCUGGUGUACCUGUUGUCACGCCAGUGGCAUUGCAGGGUAGCUAAGUGCGGAAGAGAUAACCGCUGAAAGCAUCUAAGCGGGAAACUCGUUUCAAGAUGAGAUCUGCCGGGGCCUUGAGCCCCCUGAAGAGUCGUUCUAGACCAGGACGUUGAUAGGCUGGGUGUGGAAGCGCAGUAAUGCGUUAAGCUAACCAGUACUAAUUGCUCGUGCGGCUUGACCGU